rnacentral:rRNA from 1 species
UUGGUUAAGUUAGAAAGGGCGCACGGUGGAUGCCUUGGCACUAGGAGCCGAAGAAGGACGGGACUAACACCGAUAUGCUUUGGGGAGCUGUACGUAAGCGUUGAUCCAGAGAUUUCCGAAUGGGGGAACCCACUAUCUUUAGUCGGAUAGUAUCCUUACGUGAAUACAUAGCGUGAGGAAGGCAGACCCAGGGAACUGAAACAUCUAAGUACCUGGAGGAAGAGAAAGAAAAAUCGAUUUCCUGAGUAGCGGCGAGCGAAACGGAAAGAGCCCAAACCAAGAAGCUUGCUUCUUGGGGUUGUAGGACACUCUAUACGGAGUUACAAAAGAAAGUUAUAAAUGAAGCGGUCUGGAAAGGCCCGCCAAAGACGGUAACAGCCCGGUAGUUGAAAUGGCUUUCCCUCCAGAGUGGAUCCUGAGUACGGCGGAACACGUGAAAUUCCGUCGGAAUCCGGGAGGACCAUCUCCCAAGGCUAAAUACUCCCUAGUGACCGAUAGUGAACCAGUACCGUGAGGGAAAGGUGAAAAGCACCCCGGAAGGGGAGUGAAACAGUUCCUGAAACCGUGUGCCUACAAGUAGUUAGAGCCCGUUAAUGGGUGAUAGCGUGCCUUUUGUAGAAUGAACCGGCGAGUUACGAUUUGUUGCAAGGUUAAGCGGAAAAAGCGGAGCCGUAGCGAAAGCGAGUCUGAAUAGGGCGCAUAAGUAACAGGUCGUAGACCCGAAACCAGGUGAUCUACCCAUGUCCAGGAUGAAGGUAAGGUAAUACUUACUGGAGGUCCGAACCCACGCACGUUGAAAAGUGCGGGGAUGAGGUGUGGGUAGCGGAGAAAUUCCAAUCGAACUUGGAGAUAGCUGGUUCUCUCCGAAAUAGCUUUAGGGCUAGCCUCGAGGUAAAGAGUCAUGGAGGUAGAGCACUGUUUGGACUAGGGGCCCUUCUCGGGUUACCGAAUUCAGAUAAACUCCGAAUGCCAUGUACUUAUACUCGGGAGUCAGACUGCGAGUGAUAAGAUCCGUAGUCGAAAGGGAAACAGCCCAGACCACCAGUUAAGGUCCCCAAAUAUAUGUUAAGUGGAAAAGGAUGUGGGGUUGCUUAGACAACCAGGAUGUUGGCUUAGAAGCAGCCACCAUUGAAAGAGUGCGUAAUAGCUCACUGGUCGAGUGACCCCGCGCCGAAAAUGUACCGGGGCUAAACAUAUUACCGAAACUGUGGAUGAACCUCUUUAGAGGUUCGUGGUAGGAGAGCGUUCUAAGGGCGGUGAAGUCAGACCGGAAGGACUGGUGGAGCGCUUAGAAGUGAGAAUGCCGGUAUGAGUAGCGAAAGAAGGGUGAGAAUCCCUUCCACCGAAUAUCUAAGGUUUCCUGAGGAAGGCUCGUCCGCUCAGGGUUAGUCGGGACCUAAGCCGAGGCCGAUAGGCGUAGGCGAUGGACAACAGGUAGAGAUUCCUGUACCAGUGCUAAUUGUUUAACCGAUGGGGUGACACAGAAGGAUAGGGAAUCGCACGAAUGGAAAUGUGCGUCCAAGCAGUGAGUGUGAGAAGUAGGCAAAUCCGCUUCUCGCGAAGCAUGAGCUGUGAUGGGGAAGGAAAUUAAGUACGGAAGUUCCUGAUUUCACGCUGUCAAGAAAAGCCUCUAGGAAGAGUAGUACUGCCCGUACCGCAAACCGACACAGGUAGAUGAGGAGAGAAUCCUAAGGUGAGCGAGAGAACUCUCGUUAAGGAACUCGGCAAAAUGACCCCGUAACUUCGGGAGAAGGGGUGCUCUAUUAGGGUGCAAGCCCGAGAGAGCCGCAGUGAAUAGGCCCAGGCGACUGUUUAGCAAAAACACAGGUCUCUGCAAAACCGUAAGGUGACGUAUAGGGGCUGACGCCUGCCCGGUGCUGGAAGGUUAAGAGGAGUGCUUAGCUUCGGCGAAGGUACGAAUUGAAGCCCCAGUAAACGGCGGCCGUAACUAUAACGGUCCUAAGGUAGCGAAAUUCCUUGUCGGGUAAGUUCCGACCCGCACGAAAGGCGCAACGAUCUGGGCACUGUCUCAACGAGAGACUCGGUGAAAUUAUAGU